AGCAGCCGCGGUAAUUCCAGCUCCAAUAGCGUAUAUUAAAGUUGUUGCAGUUAAAAAGCUCGUAGUUGAAUUUCGGGAUUAAUUUACUGGUCGUGCUUUUGUACGUACUGGUUUUAUUGAUUCCUCCCUUCUGACGAACUAUGAUGUCAUUAAUUUGGUGUUAUAGGAAAUCAGGACUGUUACUUUGAAAAAAUUAGAGUGUUUAAAGCAGGCUCACGCUUGAAUACAUUAGCAUGGAAUAACGGAAUAGGACGUUUGAUUCUAUUUUGUUGGUUUCUAGGAUCGACGUAAUGAUUAAUAGGGAUAGUUGGGGGCACUAGUAUUCAAUUGUCAGAGGUGAAAUUCUUGGAUUUAUUGAAGACUAACUACUGCGAAAGCAUUUGCCAGGAUGUUUUCAUUAAUCAAGAACGAAAGUUAGGGGAUCGAAGACGAUCAGAUACCGUCGUAGUC
rnacentral:rRNA from 1 species